GGUGGCAGCCAGACCUCCAAAGAAGUUGACAGCUACGGUUUUAGGUCUCCAGCUCUAUGCCAGUGCACCCCUAAAAUUAUCAAAGAGCAGAGGUCGAAGAAGGGCAGAGGCUUUUAAAGCAUCCGACCAGCGUGAGCGCUCAAACUGCGAGCCCAGCCUCCCUGACGUGGCAGGAGGGAGAGUCCCAGCUGGAAAUACGCGCUGCAGCCAUCCACCUGAGGGGACCCUGCGCAGGCAGAAGAAAAGUAACAGGAUUAGAACAGGAAGGGGAGCCGUGACAUGCAUCAUAGGUAGGUAAGCAACAGUCAUCAAUCUCUUCCUGUGGUGGUGUUGAAAGUAGUCAC
rnacentral:lncRNA from 1 species